rnacentral:tRNA from 1 species
UCAAGAAUGGCAGAAAAGUGCCAUGGACUUAAGAUCCAUAAAUAAAGGUUAUUCCUUUUUCUAGAA